GGAAACUCGGCUCAAACGACGCGUUCUGGAAGACCGCUACCUUCCACUAUCUUACGCCAUCUCCUCUCCAUUUCCCUCCACAACCAUCUUUUAUCCUGCGCACCCCCGCAGCUCUCUUUCGUUCUUAGAUCUUCUUCCUCAUCUGCAUCUGCAUCUGCAAUAUCAGACAGAUGGAAGCAGCGCUGGAUCUGAUGCGGAGAAUCUCACCGAACCAUGCGGAAACGGCUCUCUCAGCUCUCCUAACUCUUCUCCCUCACCACUCCUCCAGUCUCCUCUCUCAAGUCGAUCAGCCGCUCCAGGUCUUAUGCGAUCUGGAGUCCGGAAAGGAGUUCAUAUUGUGCGAAUACAACAGAGAUGCUGAUUCAUAUAGGUCACCUUGGUCCAAUAAAUACCACCCACCUUUAGAAGAUGGACUCCUCCCAUCAAAUGCCUUGAGGAAACUUGAAGUUGAAGCAAAUGACAUCUUUUCAGUUUAUCGUGACCAGUAUUAUGAAGGGGGGAUUUCGUCAGUAUACAUGUGGGAAGAUGAUAAUGAAGGCUUUGUGGCUUGCUUCUUAAUAAAGAAAGACGGCUCAAAGACAGGGCAUGGCCGGAGAGGUUAUUUGCAAGAAGGUGCAUGGGAUGCUAUUCAUGUUAUCGAAGUAGGUCCUGAGGAAGAGGGAACAGCUCAUUACUGCUUAACUAGUACUGUCAUGCUAUCAUUAACCACGAACGACAAGUCAUCAGGAACUUUCAAUUUGUCUGGAUCAAUCAGAAGACAAAUGAAUCUAGACCUAUCGGUCGUGGAGGGCCAUCUCUGUAACAUGGGAAGGAUGAUUGAAGAAAUGGAGAGUAAGCUGAGAAACUCACUGGAUCAGGUUUACUUUGGGAAGACAAAGGAGAUGGUCUGCACACUGCGGCCACCACAUGAAAUAGUGCAACCAAGAAUGCCAGACUGCUGAUGUGGGCUUGGUUUGCAUGUUUCAUGUGUUUGAUCUUGCACUUAGAUAAAAAGGUUUGUGCAGUUGGGAUCUCAUCAGAAGCUUCAAAAUCAUCUGGGUUCUUGAAAUGCACCUUCCUAAUGGAGCCACUUGACGGGGAUAACACAGUGAAGAAUGUGAUAUCCCAUACAUAGGAUUUGCAGGUUCCUGAUGAAGGAUAGGAGCUUUUGUACUCGCAGAAUCCAAUGCCCGUUGAUCCAAGCCAAUUAGAUGAAUGGUUCUGUCGUCUUCUCACUCUGCAGGAAGAGAAACCUCUCCCCAUCAGUGCAAUGAGCAGUACCCGAAACUCUUAUCCUCCCUGCAGGUUGAGCUGGAGAACUAUUAUUUCUAAUGAUGAGCUGCAAAAAUUGAAUCCGGAAAACGUCGUCGUCGUCAUCAUCUACAUGAAUCCAUUUCCGCCAUCAUUUUCCACUUUAGCCAUAACUUUCGUUAGACCAUUUGAAAUGAAAUGUUAUGUUGUUCAGAUUCAUUCAGGAUCAGGACCAGAAAUAAAGAGCACUAAACUCCUACAGGCAAAAUGUUAUAGACUGGUUCAUCGGUUGAUUAGAA